UACGGGGGGAGCAAGCGUUGUUCGGAUUUACUGGGCGUAAAGGGCGCGUAGGCGGCCAGCGCAAGUCAGUUGUGAAAUCUCCGGGCUUAACUCGGAACGGUCAACUGAUACUGCGCGGCUAGAGUGCAGAAGGGGCAACUGGAAUUCUCGGUGUAGCGUGAAUGCGUAGAUAUCGUAAGGAAGACCAGUGGCGAAGGCGAAUCUCUGGACAGUUACUGACACUGAGGCACGGAAGGCCAGGGGAGGCAAACGGG
rnacentral:rRNA from 1 species